rnacentral:hammerhead_ribozyme from 1 species
AUCCAGCCGAAGAGUCCCAAAUAGGACGAAACGUGUGUCCUGGAU